rnacentral:misc_RNA from 1 species
AAAAAAAAAAUCUUCCGUAAACAACUAUAACUUAUAGAACUACGAGUAGUUUUUAUUUAUCCUCUUUCACUGCAUUCCAACUGCAAAAAGUAAUACGAAUCAAUUCUUUUAUAUUUUUCAGGUCUCAACUAAAUAUGCAUGCAUAAGAAAGUUCUUGAGUUUCAUGCAUAUGAACAAGCAAUAUGUAAACCCCUCUUAGAGCCUCACAAAUGAACAUAUGUAUGACUAUAAUUUCAGAUUUCAUUAAAAAAAUAAAGUUGAAAAAAGGUCUCUAAAAAAGAAGCACAACAAUAAUCUGGACUAAAAAUGUGCGUGUUCCUAGUGUCCUAAAAUAAAUCUUUGACAACUGAGAUGAAUAUCAUUCUUAUAUAUAAUCUCUUGAAAAAUAUGGAGACAAUAACUAUAUUAGAGAAACUAUGAAAAAUGUCAAUAAGGGGUAAUCUAAAAUUAGAGUAGCUCAUAGAGGAGAAAAGGAAAAAUAUCAUAAAGCAGAGUUGGAAUGUAAAUUACAUAGUUGUUGAGGUUCUUGAUCG